GGAGCCCAAGCCUCCGCCCCGGAUUCCGGAGUACCAGCUCCACCGCGCAUGCGCACACGCCCCAGACCCAGGCUCAGGAGGACUGAGAAGUUUCUGACCGCAGUGCACCAUGGGAAGCUCUGAGGUUUCCAUAAUUCCUGGGCUCCAGAAAGAAGAAAAGGCGGCCGUGGAGAGACGAAGACUUCAUGUGCUGAAAGCUCUGAAGAAGCUAAGCAUUGAGGCCGAUGAGGCCCCAGUUGUUGCUGUGCUGGGCUCAGGCGGAGGACUGCGGGCUCACAUUGCCUGCCUUGGUGUCCUGAGUGAGAUGAAAGAACAGGGCCUGUUGGAUGCUGUCACGUACCUUGCAGGGGUCUCUGGAUCCACUUGUUUGAUCUGGAGCUGGGUUCUGAGCUGGAUGU
rnacentral:sRNA from 1 species